UAGGUGGAGGGCGGAAGGGCCGGGCCUCGAGCCAAGAAGCACCAGCUGGGUAGGAAAUCCCCACCUGUGAUUACUCGGGUAUUCAUUAAUCCAGGAUUGUGGUGAGAAAAAGAAGAAAACGAAGCUGGUUUUGAUACAGAAUUCGGCUGGAAUCACAUGAGGUCCGCAGAUGCCAAAUCCGGUUAAGAGUCCAGGGUAAAUCAGCAAUUCGCUCAGUUUCACUCACCCCUACGCCCACUCCCACCCACCCCCGCGACGGUGCUAUCCAAAGCUGCAGCUUGGAGCGCUCAGCUCUGCCCCCUGGGAUAAGGAAGAAGAGGAGGGGGCACCUAUGUCAUAGCGUGCAGGUGGAGGUCAGAGGACAACUUGUAGGAGUCCGUUCUCUCCUUCUGCCAUCUCCCUCCAUCUGUGACUCAACUACUCCUGAGGGCUUCUCUGGAUGCUGCGCGAGGAGCACGGAGCAGAUUGGAAGAGCCGAGAAAUGAAAAACUUCCUGGAGUUGCGCCCCAUCAAUUAGUGACCGCAGUUGCCGGGUAAAUACCCCGGUUUCUGUUCUCUUCAUGUGGGAUGAACUCAGAGCAGCGUGCUCCGCGCUGGCUCCCCACGUUCCUGAUCCAGUGACUCAGUGAUAAUUUGUUGGCGCGUGCGCUUUUCGUUUGUUUUUGCACUGCUGGGAUUCUGCACUGCUUCGGCCAGGCGGGCGCUCUGCCCCUGAGCUAUGCCCCAGACCCAACAUGUGUUCUGUUGAUUUCCUUCCCUUCCUCGCUCCCUCGGUCCCAGAAUGAACCGUCAGGCUUAGCUUCGAGAGUAGAUUGCUCCAACUGCGGUCUGGUUUUGCUUCUUGUAAAAUUCCCUAGACCAUUUUGUGACAUUGGUAUACUCG